UGCCAGCAGCCGCGGUAAUACGUAUGUCUCGAGCGUUACCCGGAAUCACUGGGUGUAAAGGGUUCGUAGGCGGUUUAAUAAGUUGGAUAUGAAAGACCGGAGCUCAACUUCGUGUUUGUGUUCAAAACUGUUAAACUAGAAUCAGGGAGAGGUAAGUAGAAUUCUAAGUGUAGGGGUGCAAUCCGUAGAUACUUAGAGGAAUACCAAAAGCGAAGGCAACUUACUGGAACUGUAUUGACGCUGAGGAACGAAAGCGUGGGUAGCGAAAAGGAUUAGAUA
rnacentral:rRNA from 1 species